GGGACAAAGGACAAACAUAAAUCUCCAAAAACAGCUAGGUGACUGGUAGCGCUCCACUUGUAAAGGAGAGGUCCCGGGUUCGAUACCCGGACCAGUCGGAUUUUUUCGGUCGCUCACAAGUCACCUAGCUGUGUUUGGAGAUUUAUGUUUGUCCUUUGUCCCU
rnacentral:pre_miRNA from 1 species